GGAAUUUGUGGCUUUGGUUGCGCCGGAGCUUAUAUCGGCCAAGUGUCCGUACUCUGAGGAACAGCUGAAGAAGAUUUUUCAGAUGUUUGAUAGGGACGGUAAUGGUGUGAUCACGGCGGCGGAGUUAGCGCAUUCUAUGGCUAAAUUAGGACAUGCACUUACACAAGAGGAGUUAACAGGGAUGAUCAAGGAAGCUGAUAGAGAUGGUGAUGGUUGCAUUAGCUUUGAGGAGUUUGCUCAGGCGAUGACUUCCGCUGCAUUCGAUAAUUCCUGGACAUGAAACGCCUUUUCCUUUCUGGCGAAAGAAGAAAAACAGACUUGAGCUCCAACAGGGGACCAAUUUCAAUC
rnacentral:misc_RNA from 1 species